rnacentral:rRNA from 1 species
UACGAAGGGGGCUAGCGUUGCUCGGAAUCACUGGGCGUAAAGGGUGCGUAGGCGGGUCUUUAAGUCAGGGGUGAAUCCUGGAGCUCAAACUCCAGAACUGCCUUUGAUACUGAAGAUCUUGAGUUCGGGAGAGGUGAGUGGAACUGCGAGUGUAGAGGUGAAAUUCGUAGAUAUUCGCAAGAACACCAGUGGCGAAGGCGGAGCUCACCUGGC